GAUGAACGCUGGCGGCGUGCCUAAUACAUGCAAGUCGAGCGAACGGACGAGAAGCUAGCUUCUCUGCUGUUAGCGGCGGACGGGUGAGUCACACGUGGAUAACCUACCUAUAAGACUGAGCAAACUGCGGGUAACCGCAGCUCCUACCGGAUAAUAUUUUCAACCUAGCGGUGCAAAAGUGAAAGACGCUCUUGCUGUCACUUAUAGAUGGUUCUGCGCUGCAUUAGCUAGUUGGUAAGGUAACGGCUUAUCAAGGCAACGAUGCAUAGCCGACCUGAGAGGGUGAUCGACCACACUGGAGCGGGGGGACGGCCCCAAGUGCUACGAGAGGCAGCAGUAAGGAAUACGCCGCGAUGGGGGGAAGCAUGACGGACCAAGGGCGCAUGCGUGACGCAGGUCUUCUGAGCGUAAGACUCUGUUAUUCGGGAUGAACAUAUGUGUAAGUAACUAUGCACAACUUGACGGUACCUAAACAAGAAGCCACGGCUAACUACGUG
rnacentral:rRNA from 1 species